rnacentral:hammerhead_ribozyme from 1 species
UCACUGCUGAAGUGUCCCACAAUAGGACGAAAUGGUCAUCCAGUAC